AGCUAAUGGUGAGUGGAAAGGUUAUGCAAAAAUGAGGAACAUGAUGACAAACUUGUCAACUAAGAAAGAGGUGGGGAGAAGUUGGGUUGAGGUUAGGAAUGAAGUAAAUGAUUUUGUUGCGGGAGACAAGUGACAAGACCAACUCAAAGAAUAUUGGGGUGAAUGAUAAAGGUCAAUUCUCAAAUAUGAAAUACCCAGACUGAAGAUCCUAGAAAUGUAGUAUGCUAUAUGAAUGUGGCUUGCCAUGUUCCUGAUUUGGAUUGCUUUCUACAUAAAAUCCUAGAAAUCUUAUGAUUCCUUGUUGAUGGGUCACCAACAUAAGGUAUGGGAGUCCUGUCAAUGGUUGAUUCGUUUCAUCAAAGUACCGGUGGAAGUCAUUUAUGAUGAUGCAGCCACAGAGUAUGCAAUCAGCUCCUCCACAACCAACUGAAUGGAGAUGUUGAUAAAGAGUUGCAGCCAGAUAAGGUUAAAGGGAUUCUGCCAACUUUAGAUGGGAAGCUUUUAGUUGAACAGGGAGGAAGUAUAUAUAGUUCUUGCCUAUCAUCAUGUACAAGCAGUCAUCUUGUGGUAGGAUCCAUAAAUCAAGAGGAGUUAAGGUCAACCAUGUUCUGAUGUUCUACAAUUUGUUGAUGCCAAAUGCAGGCUUAUUAUCUGUUGUAUAUUAACAAGUUUUUCAUUUGGAUUAACUCGUUUUAGAUUAA